UCAAGUAAUUGAUGCUGACGUGGA
rnacentral:siRNA from 1 species